AGCUAGUUGGUGAGGUAACGGCCCACCAAGGCGACGAUCGGUAGCCGGACUGAGAGGUUGAACGGCCACAUUGGGACUGAGACACGGCCCAGACUCCUACGGGAGGCAGCAGUGGGGAAUAUUGCACAAUGGGGGAAACCCUGAUGCAGCGACGCCGCGUGGAGGAAGAAGGUCUUCGGAUUGUAAACUCCUGUUGUUGGGGAAGAUAAUGACGGUACCCAACAAGGAAGUGACGGCUAACUACGUGCCAGCAGCCGCGGUAAAACGUAGGUCACAAGCGUUGUCCGGAAUUACUGGGUGUAAAGGGAGCGCAGGCGGGAAGACAAGUUGGAAGUGAAAUCCAUGGGCUCAACCCAUAAACUGCUUUCAAAACUGUUUUUCUUGAGUAGUGCAGAGGUAGGCGGAAUUCCCGGUGUAGCGGUGGAAUGCGUAGAUAUCGGGAGGAACACCAGUGGCGAAGGCGGCCUACUGGGCACCAACUGACGCUGAGGCUCGAAAGUGUGGGUAGCAAACAGGAUUAGAUACCCUGGUAGUCCACACCGUAAACGAUGAUUACUAGGUGUUGGAGGAUUGACCCCUUCAGUGCCGCAGUUAACACAAUAAGUAAUCCACCUGGGGAGUACGACCGCAAGGUUGAAACUCAAAGGAAUUGACGGGGGCCCGCACAAGCAGUGGAGUAUGUGGUCUAAUUCGACGCAACGCGAAGAACCUUACCAAGUCUUGACAUCCCUUGACAGACAUAGAAAUAUGUAUUCUCUUCGGAGCAAGGAGACAGGUGGUGCAUGGUUGUCGUCAGCUCGUGUCGUGAGAUGUUGGGUUAAGUCCCGCAACGAGCGCAACCCUUAUGGUCAGUUACUACGCAAGAGGACUCUGGCCAGACUGCCGUUGACAAAACGGAGGAAGGUGGGGAUGACGUCAAAUCAUCAUGCCCUUUAUGACUUGGGCUACACACGUACUACAAUGGCGUUAAACAAAGAGAAGCAAGACCGCGAGGUGGAGCAAAACUCAGAAACAACGUCCCAGUUCGGACUGCAGGCUGCAACUCGCCUGCACGAAGUCGGAAUUGCUAGUAAUCGUGGAUCAGCAUGCCACGGUGAAUACGUUCCCGGGCCUUGUACACACCGCCCGUCACACCAUGAGAGCCGGGGGGACCCGAAGUCGGUAGUCUAACCGCAAGGAGGACGCCGCCGAAGGUAAAACUGGUGAUUGGGGUGAAGUCGUAACAAGGUAGCCGUAGGAGAACCUGCGGCUG
rnacentral:rRNA from 1 species